GAGUUUGAUCAUGGCUCAGGAUGAACGCUAGCGGCGGGCCUAAUACAUGCAAGUCGAACGGUGCAGCAAUGCAUAGUGGCAGACGGGUGCGUAACGCGUAUGCAACCUACCUUUUAUCGGGGGACAACAUUUCGAAAGAAGUGCUAAUACCGCGUAAGAUAGUAGUGGGACAUCCCACAGCUAUUAAACUUUCGGGGAUAGAAGAUGGGCAUGCGUCUGAUUAGCUAGUUGGCGGGUAACGGCCCACCAAGGCGACGAUCAGUAGGGGAACUGAGAGGUUGAUCCCCCACACUGGCACUGAGAUACGGGCCAGACUCCUACGGGAGGCAGCAGUAGGGAAUAUUGGGCAAUGGACGGAAGUCUGACCCAGCCACGCCGCGUGCAGGAGGAAGGCGCUCUGCGUUGUAAACUGCUUUAGCAGGGGAAGAAAAGACUCAUGCGUGAGGAAUUGACGGUACCCUGAGAAUAAGCACCGGCUAACUACGUG
rnacentral:rRNA from 1 species